GUGCUUGCUUCAGCAGCACAUAUACUAACACUGGAACGAUACAGAAAAGAUUAGCAUGGCCCCUGCGCAAGAAAAAAAGAAAGGAAUAAUAAACGUAUCUAAAUGUA
rnacentral:snRNA from 1 species